AAAACAACUUUCAGCAACGGAUAUCUUGGCUNUUGCAACGAUGAANAACGCAGCGAAAUGCGAUACGUAGUGUGAAUUGCA
rnacentral:rRNA from 1 species